GCCAGGCGUGGUGGUGCAUGCCUGUAGUCCCAGUUAAUUGGGAGGCUGAGGCAGGAGGACUGCUUGAGCCCAGGACUUUGAGGCUGUAGUGAGCCAAGAUUGCACCACUGCACUCCAGCCUGGGCAACAAAGCGAGACCCUGUCUCUA
ensembl:misc_RNA Metazoa_SRP Metazoan signal recognition particle RNA